rnacentral:rRNA from 2 species
AGACCAAGGGUUCCUGUCCAACGUUAAUCGGGGCAGGGUGAGUCGACCCCUAAGGCGAGGCCGAAAGGCGUAGUCGAUGGGAAACAGGUUAAUAUUCCUGUACUUGGUGUUACUGCGAAGGGGGGACGGAGAAGGCUAUGUUAGCCGGGCGACGGUUGUCCCGGUUUAAGCAUGUAGGCUGAUUGUCCAGGCAAAUCCGGAUAAUCAAGGCUGAGGUGUGAUGACGAGGCACUACGGUGCUGAAGUAACAAAUGCCCUGCUUCCAGGAAAAGCCUCUAAGCAUCAGGUAACAUCAAAUCGUACCCCAAACCGACACAGGUGGUCAGGUAGAGAAUACCAAGGCGCUUGAGAGAACUCGGGUGAAGGAACUA